CCUGGCGGACGUAGCGCGGUGGUCCCACCUGACCCCAUGCCGAACUCAGAAGUGAAACGCCGUAGCGCCGAUGGUAGUGUGGGGUCUCCCCAUGCGAGAGUAGGGAACUGCCAGGC
rnacentral:rRNA from 1 species